rnacentral:rRNA from 1 species
UACGUAGGGUGCGAGCGUUGUCCGGAAUCAUUGGGCGUAAAGAGCGUGUAGGCGGCUCGGUAAGUCCGCUGUGAAAGUCCAGGGCUCAACCCUGGAAAGCCGGUGGGAACUGUCGAGCUCGAGUCCGGAAGAGGCGAGUGGAAUUCCUGGUGUAGCGGUGAAAUGCGCAGAUAUCAGGAGGAACACCAAUGGCGAAGGCAGCUCGCUGGGACGGUACUGACGCUGAGACGCGAAAGCGUGGGGAGCAAACAGG